CGACUCUCGGCAACGGAUAUCUCGGCUCUCGCAUCGAUGAAGAACGUAGCGAAAUGCGAUACUUGGUGUGAAUUGCAGAAUCCCGUGAACCAUCGAGUCUUUGAACGCAAGUUGCGCCCGAAGCCGUCAGGCAGAGGGCACGUCUGCCUGGGUGUCACG
rnacentral:rRNA from 1 species